rnacentral:rRNA from 1 species
GAUUCGUCACACUAUCAUUAACUGAAUCCAUAGGUUAAUGAGGCGAACCGGGGGAACUGAAACAUCUAAGUACCCCGAGGAAAAGAAAUCAACCGAGAUUCCCCCAGUAGCGGCGAGCGAACGGGGAGGAGCCCAGAGCCUGAAUCAGCAUGUGUGUUAGUGGAAGCGUCUGGAAAGGCGCGCGAUACAGGGUGACAGCCCCGUACACAAAAGCGCAUGUGCUGUGAGCUCGAUGAGUAGGGCGGGACACGUGGUAUCCUGUCUGAAUAUGGGGGGACCAUCCUCCAAGGCUAAAUACUCCUGACUGACCGAUAGUGAACCAGUACCGUGAGGGAAAGGCGAAAAGAACCCCGGCGAGGGGAGUGAAAAAGAACCUGAAACCGUGUACGUACAAGCAGUGGGAGCACAGGUUUACCUGUGUGACUGCGUACCUUUUGUAUAAUGGGUCAGCGACUUAUAUUCUGUAGCAAGGUUAACCGUAUAGGGGAGCCGUAGGGAAACCGAGUCUUAACCGGGCGUUAAGUUGCAGGGUAUAGACCCGAAACCCGGUGAUCUAGCCAUGGGCAGGUUGAAGGUUGGGUAACACUAACUGGAGGACCGAACCGACUAAUGUUGAAAAAUUAGCGGAUGACCUGUGGCUGGGGGUGAAAGGCCAAUCAAACCGGGAGAUAGCUGGUUCUCCCCGAAAGCUAUUUAGGUAGCGCCUCGUGAAUUCAUCUCCGGGGGUAGAGCACUGUUUCGGCUAGGGGGCCAUCCCGGCUUACCAACCCGAUGCAAACUGCGAAUACCGGAGAAUGUUAUCACGGGAGACACACGGCGGGUGCUAACGUCCGUCGUGAAGAGGGAAACAACCCAGACCGCCAGCUAAGGUCCCAAAGUCAUGGUUAAGUGGGAAACGAUGUGGGAAGGCCCAGACAGCCAGGAUGUUGGCUUAGAAGCAGCCAUCAUUUAAAGAAAGCGUAAUAGCUCACUGGUCGAGUCGGCCUGCGCGGAAGAUGUAACGGGGCUAAACCAUGCACCGAAGCUGCGGCAGCGACGCUUAUGCGUUGUUGGGUAGGGGAGCGUUCUGUAAGCCUGUGAAGGUGUGUCGUGAGGCAUGCUGGAGGUAUCAGAAGUGCGAAUGCUGACAUAAGUAACGAUAAAGCGGGUGAAAAGCCCGCUCGCCGGAAGACCAAGGGUUCCUGUCCAACGUUAAUCGGGGCAGGGUGAGUCGACCCCUAAGGCGAGGCCGAAAGGCGUAGUCGAUGGGAAACGGGUUAAUAUUCCCGUACUUGGUGUUACUGCGAAGGGGGGACGGAGAAGGCUAUGUUGGCCGGGCGACGGUUGUCCCGGUUUAAGCGUGUAGGUGUGUGUUCCAGGUAAAUCCGGUUCACUUUAACACUGAGGCGUGACGACGAGGCACUACGGUGCUGAAGCAACAAAUGCCCUGCUUCCAGGAAAAGCCUCUAAGCAUCAGGUAACAUCAAAUCGUACCCCAAACCGACACAGGUGGUCAGGUAGAGAAUACCAAGGCGCUUGAGAGAACUCGGGUGAAGGAACUAGGCAAAAUGGUGCCGUAACUUCGGGAGAAGGCACGCUGACACGUAGGUGAAGUGAUUUACUCAUGGAGCUGAAGUCAGUCGAAGAUACCAGCUGGCUGCAACUGUUUAUUAAAAACACAGCACUGUGCAAACACGAAAGUGGACGUAUACGGUGUGACGCCUGCCCGGUGCCGGAAGGUUAAUUGAUGGGGUCAGCGCAAGCGAAGCUCCUGAUCGAAGCCCCGGUAAACGGCGGCCGUAACUAUAACGGUCCUAAGGUAGCGAAAUUCCUUGUCGGGUAAGUUCCGACCUGCACGAAUGGCGUAAUGAUGGCCAGGCUGUCUCCACCCGAGACUCAGUGAAAUUGAACUCGCUGUGAAGAUGCAGUGUACCCGCGGCAAGACGGAAAGACCCCGUGAACCUUUACUAUAGCUUGACACUGAACAUUGAGCCUUGAUGUGUAGGAUAGGUGGGAGGCUUUGAAGUGUGGACGCCAGUCUGCAUGGAGCCGACCUUGAAAUACCACCCUUUAAUGUUU